GACGAACGCUGGCGGCGUGCUUAACACAUGCAAGUCGAACGGAAAGGCCCUGCUUUUGUGGGGUGCUCGAGUGGCGAACGGGUGAGUAACACGUGAGUAACCUGCCCUUGACUUUGGGAUAACUUCAGGAAACUGGGGCUAAUACCGGAUAGGAGCUCCUGCUGCAUGGUGGGGGUUGGAAAGUUUCGGCGGUUGGGGAUGGACUCGCGGCUUAUCAGCUUGUUGGUGGGGUAGUGGCUUACCAAGGCUUUGACGGGUAGCCGGCCUGAGAGGGUGACCGGCCACAUUGGGACUGAGAUACGGCCCAGACUCCUACGGGAGGCAGCAGUGGGGAAUAUUGCACAAUGGGCGGAAGCCUGAUGCAGCAACCCCGCGUGCGGAAUGACGGCCUUCGGGUUGUAAACCGCUUUCGCCUGUGACGAAGCGUGAGUGACGGUAAUGGGUAAAGAAGCACCGGCUAACUACGUG
rnacentral:rRNA from 1 species